rnacentral:rRNA from 1 species
CAGCACCUCAAGUGGUCAGGAUGAUUAUUGGGCCUAAAGCAUCCGUAGCCGGCGCUGUAAGUUUUCGGUUAAAUCUGUACGCUUAACGUACAGGCUGCCGGGAAUACUGCAGCGCUAGGGAGUGGGAGAGGUAGACGGUACUCGGUAGGAAGGGGUAAAAUCCUUUGAUCUAUUGAUGACCACCUGUGGCGAAGGCGGUCUACCAGAACACGUCCGACGGUGAGGGAUGAAAGCUGGGGGAGCAAACCGGAUUAGAUACCCGGGUAGUCC